rnacentral:sRNA from 12 species
AUGCGUGUAAAGACCCAUCCGAGGCAGUGAUGCUCGCGUAUGCGGGAUGGGAGUAAUAGGGUGGGCAACGCAC